GCUAUAGAGGAACUGUUAAACUAUAUAUCAAAAAUAUAUCAAUGACUCUUUCUUUCCAUGCUUUGUUAGAAACAGUGCAAAGUGAAUUAAACAGACACAAUUCCUUUCCUCUUGGAAGACCUAGAACAUAUUCCAAUGACAGCAGAGAUUUUUUAUUCAUAUGAAGAGGGCUAUAGCAAAUGAAUAAAUGAAGCAAAAAAAAAAAAAGAGGAAGGAAUGCCUGCAUUUAUUGGUAAAAGAAGUAUCAGAUGCAUGUCACAUCAGGGGAAAAUCAUUUUGCCUUUUUCUGUUGAUCAGAGAGCUCAUGAAGAGAUGAGAUUGUCAAACUGAAUAAUCUAAAGAGAUUCCUUGGUGACUUAACAUGAAGCGAACGUCUAGAUAUGAGAGAGGUGAGUAUUUCAAAACAGAGUGAAGAGUUGAACAGAGGAGAAGGAAGAAAUGAUUGUCCUAAAUGGACUUGAAUAUGCCUGGAAGGAUAGGAUUGUGGUAGAUAAGAUGUGUGGGACUAGGCAGUUCUGAGAAGUAAAAUGGUGUGAGGCAAUGCCCUUUUGCUGAACUCUCUAGACUUGGCCUUCCUCAUGGAGGGUAUCCCAAAGGUCUAGGAAAAGUCUUCCCUCUGGUAUCUGAGCACUUGUUUAUCUUGAAUUUUUCAUGGUGUUUUCAGUUAGUUUGAGUCAACCUGCUCCUCUGUUCUUUUCUAAAAUCUUCCUGAGUCUGUUUAGGGUUAUCUGACAACUAAACUAGCCCUGGGGACAGGUGCUCAGUAAAAAAGAGACCAUAUACAAUCGCUUACUUUCUUGCAGUAUUUAAGGAGCUUUCUCUUGGGCUGAUCUGGUGAGCCACUGCCAUCUUCAAGUGCCGAUUUGGGAUCCUGGAUACCAUAUGAAAAAGAUGUGAUUGAGGACGACUCACCCCGCCAUAUUUUUUGCAAGACUCCUGAAGGAAAGACCUGCGUUUCUCUUGGGCCACAUCCGUUUCCUUCCAUUUGUUGUCUUUGAUUAAACUUUUAUUUAAAGGGUGUAUGUCCAAUGGCCACUUCAUUUCACUGAACUUCUUGAAAACAGUCCUAGUUCCUUGAUGUUUUGCAAUCAGCUUAAUUGUUGGUGGCCCUGUGGUCUUCCCCAAAACUCGAUCCUCUCCUUGUGAGUGGCUGGUCUUUGUUAAGACCCUCAUUGGCCUCUCAGAGUUGAGCAGAAGAUUUUCCUUUUUUCCCUUGGGAUCCUCAGUGAUGUGGAACUUGAGGUUCUGUUAAAAUAGAGAAGGAGAAAUGUUGAAAGCGCAUUCACAAACCUCUUGCAAUGACUGCAGAAGGGAAUACAUGGAAGACAGGACUUACAAGAUGGAAUCCUCUCCUAGAGAUAAAAUUGUAAGGACUUUGGCUUUUACUGUGGGUAAACUAGGGGGACUUUGAAGGGCUUUCAGCAGGGAAGUAACAUGAUCUCACUUACACUUGAAAAGGAUGGUUGAGGAGAAGAUUGGCCUGGAAAUAUACAUACAGAAUUGUCAGCAUGUUAUUGGAAAAACCAAUCAACAAAUGGUGUGCUGUGGGAAUAAUAAAUGGGGCCACCAGCCUAGUGUUGGAAGAAGUGGUGGGAGAAGUUCCCUAGAGGAGGAUAUCUAUCUAUCUAUCUAUCUAUCUGACAUCCAUCCAUCCAUCCAUCCAUCCACUGUAUCCCCAGUGUCUAGAAUGGCCUGGAGCCUAUAGUAAUUGCUUUCACAUAUUUAUUGAGUGAACAAAUGAAUAAAUGGAAUGAAAUCUUCCAAGUUGAUUAGUAAUAUUCUAGCAAAUUGAGCAAAAGAACAGAGAAAUAGUUUGCACUGUGGAUGGAAGCCACCUCAAAGCAUCAUGGUCCUUCUACUAGCUAGGCUUUAAGUGGGGUGGGGGUGGGAAUUGCUUCUUUCUAGUGCAAGAAGAUUGUGUGAGUAACCCCUAAUCACCAUACACCAACUUGGGUAGCCCCAUAAAACAGCUGCCCAAAUCUUCCAUAGCAUUGAGCCAACUGUUUGGUGUUUCAAGUCUAAAACCAUUUGUCUUCUGUCAUACUGGAGACUGCCAGGAUGACUUCAAAGCCCUGAAUCCAUCUUUACUCUGAUCAAUUACCUGUAGUCCAUUAAAUUUUCACAGAUGAUCUGAAAUUUGACUUGGGCUUUGGAAGAGCAUGGGGUUAUUGGUUGACUGCAUGGGAAGUACUUGGUACAGGCCUGAAAUAAAAUUGCCAAUAUAUUUUUGCAGCUACUUCUUCUACUAUUACAACUGUAAAUAAUAAUUGCUAUUAAUAUUUUAUAGUGUGGUAAUAAUGUUUUAUCCCAUUGACCUAGUGAAUUUCAAGGUUCCCAGUUGUCCAUUAUUAUCCAGACUAUAAUUUGUGUGUCUCUAGAUGUACCUUAAUUAGUUCCCUCCCUGCCCCAUUGACAAGAACAAAAACAAAAUCAGCUUUCCACUGUGCCCUCUGGACCUUCUGUUUGUGGUCAUCAAAUUCCCUUUUAAACUCUGGAGACUUCUGGAAUGUUUGUUUCCCAGGACUUUCUCUACAUGGAACCUGGCUGGCCCCCAAGAUUCUGCUGCCCUUGCACUUUCUCAAGUAGACAAAACUUUAUUUCCUUGAACCACUUGUCCCUCCAGCCCGAAGUCAGGGCACUAUUUCCCUGCAAUUCACUGCUGCUUCCAGGACAUGUCCCUUGGCAAAAGCUUCUGCUUCUGUCAAGCACACGUGUCCUACUGAGCCUCCCUUCUCCCUCCUCAUGCUGUCGUCUGCCUGCACCCUUGUCCUUUCUGCUUCAUGCACUGAAGACUUUAGCUUCUGGCUCAGACUUUGCUUCUCAUACCCCUUCUUGUCAUUGUGUGUGGUGACUCUGACACCCAAUAAACUCUCAGUUCCUUGACCACCUCGCCUUUAAUAGAGGUGUUAUUCAUUUCUCAUAGACCGUGUCAUCACCAGUGCCUGUGCCAGCUCCAUCAUCUCUCUGACCACCAUCCUUUAACCUUCCAGCUCAUUGCAACUUCCAUUUUUUCAGUUCUUUGACCACUUCUCACCAUGUUAUUCAAGCUCUUAGUAGCCAGAAUGCCUGGUUCUUCUAUUUGCUCUUAGAAAGUCACUUCUGCAGGGAGGUUUUCCCUGUCCACCUUGUCUAAAUUAUGUUCUCUUCUGAGAUUCUCUCCCAUGUAAGGUUCCCAAAUAAGAACUCUGCUUACUUUCCUCAUUGCAUUUAUUGCAAUGCGAAAUGAUUUUAUUUACUUACUUCUGUGUUGUCUCCCCCCACCCCCCGCCCCACUCCCACCUCUUGCACUAGAACAUGACCACAGAGGUCUUAUUUUUUUUGUUCUCUUUUGGAUCUCUGGUACGUAACAUGUUGCCUGGCACAUAGAAAACAGUCAACCAAUAAUUGUUGAUUAAGUGCAAUUUUUAAAGACCACAGGUGGAUUGUUUAUUUCAAGAUACAGCACAAAAUGAAUCUGUGUAUCUAUUAACAGGAUUUACUUACACAAUUGUACUACAUUUCACCA